UCUAACAAAAAAGAUUGUUUUAUGUUUGAUCUUGCCAAGAAGAAAAGUUUUCGUAAUUGCUGUUUUGAAUAAAGAGAUAAAUGUUUGUGAAAACACAACAUAGUUACGUAUAGUGCAGUUCAUCGCAAAUAACUUACAUAGCCGAGACGUUAUGUCACGUUUUGAGCAUCUAAAUUAGCACCAGAUUUCAAUAGGAUUACAAGUGGAAUUACUGCGUUAGUUAUAAAAGUACGAAGUAAACCACUCUAUAAUGCCUGGACAAUACUCCGCUUAUGAGGAUAGCAGCUCUGUUACAACAAACGAGGGCGCCCGUGGUUGCUACAAAGAAUGGACCAGCGGUACUAAAGGCUGUUUCACCAAAACCAUACUUAUUGUCACACUCUGCGUCAUAUUUUUUGUCGUUGGUUACGCGGUUGGCUACGUCAUACAUAGGUGUAAGAUGUCAUGUGGUGACGUAAGCGUGACGUCAACUCCCACGUCAUUAAUAAGUAGUAUUGCGACGACCAUUAAUGGAACGACAUGAUGAAGAACUUUGUGACAUCAUCAAAUCCAUGACGUCAAUAAAACUUUGUGACGUCAUCAGAAAGAAAACGCGUUAUUGUUCAAUGCGUAAACCAUGAUCGGUAAUUAUGUAUAUUUUCAUUCUGUUUUAUCUUCACAUUUGGUGGUAACAAAGCAUAUUUACAGAAUUAUAUAACCGUAUCCUCACGACAAAAAAGAGCGUUGUUAAUUGUUGAAAACACGAUUAGAAAAUGUGAGAUAUUAUGUGCUAACAGUAUCUUGCCCCACAACGGUUUUAAAUUAAAUAAAUAUACAAGUAAAAGUAAAUAUCCUUGGCCUGCUUCAGGGUACGCAAUGCAAACAGAGAAAAAGGUACAACGGAUAGGGAAUUCUUAGGCGAUUAUUACCGCGCGUAAUAAACGCCCUAAGGUGGCUGUACACAGUAUUCCGGAAUUCGAUCCGUUUUGUCUGGUUUUGUCCGGGAUUUCGCAUACUACAAAGCGGAAUUGGACACGNGGUUUGCAAACGACUUCGCAAGCGAAUUCGCACGCCGGAUACUGUGUACAGCCACCUUUAGGCGAUUAUUACCACGCGUAAUAAACGUCUUAACGAGGCCAUGGAAUCGUGAAGAUAAAACACAGAACGGCGUCUGGUGUUCGCAGGCCAGGCCUCACAUUCAGUAUAGCAGUGAAUACGUGGUUAAAAUAUAAAGUAUAUGCGAGUGUAUUCUGAAGCAGUUUAGAAAAAUUGUAAUGUAGUAGGGUGGAGGAGAUGAGACACCUUUAGCACAUAAUAUCCAAAUAUCAUGAUCGUGUUUUAAACAAUUAAUAACGGUCUAUUGGAGCCG